UUUACUUUUUACAACUGUGAAGCUGAUCGUCAAGCUCUCAUUUAUUCAUUUUCUAAACACUUUCGUUUUAUUUGCGACAAAUUUCCAGGCAACAAUAUUUGAAUACUAAAUCAAUUGAUCGAGGUAUUAGCGUUCCAGAUGGCCUGGAGCACCUUCGCAAACUCUACCAGCUUGUCGACUUCUGGGAUCAGUUCCUUCACGAUCGCGAGAGAGUAGAACCGCUCUGCCCAUUCAGCUAAGAGAGGAAACUUCGCCCCGUCAAUGAGUUUGAUAUCCGAUAUCUUCUCUAUCGCCUUCACCCAGCCCAAAAAGCUCCCAAGAACAAUGUCGAGGUAGCCCACAUUAUCUCCACCGAAGAAGGGCUUUUCUUUGUAGCUUUUCUCAUAAGCCUCUUCUAGUAAAGUAAGUCCUGCGAACGAUUGUUCUACAGCUUCUGCUUUCUCUUUUUCUGUCUUUGCUUUUAUAAUCUCUCUUGUGAUGGGAAACCACUGCAUUCAAAGAGAAGUGGGGAUAUGGAAGAAAACUUCAUAAAACUUUUCGAUUUAUUGCAAUAUCAAAAAAAGCCUUUUUGCUUAAAAUAUUUAUUGAUUAUUGAUUUUGGACCUUUAUAAAUCUAAUACACUUUUUAGGAUUUUCCAGAUUUGAUUUUUUUUCAAAAAAAUAACCAAACUAUACUGUUUUACUUUUCAAAAUAUUUAAUGCGUAUACCUUUUAUAUAUUAUUUGUACUUUUCAAAAUAUUUAAUGUGUAUGACUUUUAUACAAUUUGAAGGAGACAUAGUUUGGCCAUGUAUUUGAAAAGAUGGACCGAAUAUGUAAAAUCUUAAAAAAUUGAUCAGAUUUGCAAAAGUACAAAAUCCAUAAAUUCUUUAUAUAUACCAAAAAAAGACCAUCAAACAAGAACCAACAUUCUAAAAAAGUUAGAAAUAUUGAAAUAUUAUACACCGCUACUCAAAAUUCUAUAAUUGAGACUUAAAUUCAAAAUCCUUCCAAAUCCGAGGCCGUGCCUUAUUAUUAGAUCCCAAUGGCGUGGCUAUUCGAAGUAGCAAAUCAUGUAGAUCUUAACGCUCGACGUGAUUGAAACAAUUUUUGCUGAAGUAAAAGUAGGAGCAAACAAAAUUACAAGCCUAGAAUAACAUACCUUGUCAUCUAUAUAGCCAGCCCAAAAGCGCGCGAUGGCGCGAUCAUAUGGAUCAGGCGGAAGCAACGAGGGCCCAGUUCCGGCCCAAACUUCGUCAAUGUACUGCAGGAUGAUCGCGGACUCGCAAAUGGGCCGAUUCUUGUGGAUCAAAACUGGCACCUUCUUGUACACAGGGUUAGAUUUGAGGAGGAGCUCACUCUUAUUUUCCAAAAGUUGUUGCUCCAGAUAUUCGUAGCUCACCCCCUUGAGUUCUAAAGCAAUUUUCACUCUAAGUACGUAGGGGCUCGGCCAUGCUCCGAGGAGCUUCACUUCAUCUCCUGACCCUGCCAUAUUAUAUGGGAAAUUGUUUCCCUACAAGAUAGAAAAGUUAAUUAAGUAAACAAUAUUAUAGAGGUGCAUGUGCAGCGAAUUUGCUGUGGAUUCUGGGGCUUGUGUUGAUGUGGGUAUUUAUAGAGAUAAAGAGAGGUGUUAAAUGAGUGGUUGGAUAGGUGAGGUUGUGUGGUGUAUGACAUUUGUGGAGCUUGGCAAAGAGAAAUGUUAAUUAUACAAUUCAAAAGUUUGAUAUAAAACUUAUAAUUUUUCGUCUAAGAGUACAAACACUAGUAUGAAAAAAAAUAAUUCUUUAACAAAGAGAGUGGAACAUUUUAAUAGCUAAAGGAAACGAAAGCAAAAGUGAUUAUUUAAUAGUGGCGAGCGAAAUAGGGGCAAUGUAAACGAUAAAAAUGGAGUUGUAGGAGAGUAAUACAAGCAUCGUGCUGUUAGGCGAAGCGGUAGAGUACUGCAACUUAGAUGGUUAGAAUCUAGUUGCUCCUUAUUGAACGGGCGCCAUAAGUAAUUAUAGAAAAAUAAUUUGGGUGUUAAUUUCUUUAAUGAGUCUAAGAGGUAAAAUAUUGUCAAUUUUUAAAUUUUUUUAUCAAAACUUUUUUUAUAAAAUUUAAUGUUUAGAAACCAGAUUAGGGUGUCGUUAUUAUGAGUCAACUAUUUUUCGGGUCAAAGUAUGCUUGUGUACUUUUCCAUUUAGGAUUUGCUCUUGUUUCGUCACUGCUGUUGUAUGCUAAUUUGUCAUUAAUUGGUCCAGCAGAAGAAAAUAUUACUUCGAAUAAAUUACACCACCAGGCCCCAAACUUUGAGUUAGAUUUCACUUUAGUUUUUAUCUGAGAUUAAAAAUUAUUGCUCAUAUCUAAUUCAACUAUUUUUUCGUAUUAUAAACUUAUCACUUUUACAUCCAUCUCAUAUUUUUAAUUUAAAAAUAUAAUUUUUAAAUAAAAAAUAAUAACUAGAUAUGUGGUAUGAUUGAAAUAUGAGAUGAAGAAAUAUUAGAUAAACACGAGAUAUGUAACUGUUAAAACACACGGGUUGUCCAUUAUCUUUAAUAGUAAAUAUAUAUAUAUAUAUAUAUAUAUAUAUAAAAACUAAAGUGAAAUUCUUUUAAAGGUUUAGUAAUUAGUAUAACAUCAAAAUUGAAAGUUUGAGAAGGAAAAUAAAAUUUGGCUGAAAAUUUAAUUAUGGACCGAAUGUUUGAGACUAAAGUAAAUGGCUGAGAAUUUAGGACUAAUGGUGCAAUUCACUCAAUAUUUUUUCUCGUGAUUUUUUUUCUUUUUCAUUUUUUUUUUUUUAUUUCGGUGGUCGGGGUGGGGAGGGGACUUUUCUAUUGCGCUCUGCUUGCAGAAGAAGAUUAUGACUUGUUGCUGCAUUGAUGUCGUCACUGCUGUCGGUGGCCAGUCAACCAUGCCCUUUUGAUAAUUGAAUGGGUGAUACAUAUCUUAAAACAAUAUUAGCCCAAACAUUUUGGGACAAAUUGGUAACUUAUAUUACUUUUCGAAUGGGGUAAACUUUAAAUUAUUCAUAUUGAUACAGCGUAAUUUUUACUUUACUCAAUGAUUUAAAAAGCUACAUUUUCCUUAAAAAAAAAAAAAAAAUUUACUAAGCUAUAAUUUGCAUUUUCAGUGGUUUUAGCUCAAUUUUAUUUUGCCACUCUGUGUGGUUUAGAGAAUUACACUUAACUAUCUUGUAAUUUAGCAUAUUUUUACUUUUGCAUUAUGUGAUUUUUCAAAAAUUUUUAUUUUGCCACCCUCUUUGAUAUAAAUUUUUUUUUAUAAAAUAAAAAAUUUUAAUCAUAAGAGGACAAAGUGUAAUUUUUUAAAUCACCACAUGGCAACAUGAAAUAGGUUUUUUUUUUUUUGGGAAAACUUCAAAAGCCCCCCAUGGUUUCACACUUUCUCACUUGAGUGCCCUGUGGUUUAAAAUGUAUCAAUUUGGUGCCAUGUGGCUUCAUUUUUAUUUUUUUAUUAUCAAUUUUACUAAUUUUUUUUUUUUUAAAUCAGUGACAAAGUUAAAACUAAAGGAUACUAAAGUGAAUAUUCGAUAAAUCUAGGUGAGUAUUUGAAGUUUUUUAUAUAUAAUUUAAAUAUUAACGAAAAAGCUAUAGAAAAGAUAAAAAUGAAAUCACGGGUUACCAAAUUGAUAUACUUUAAACCACAGUGCACUCAAGUGAGAAAGUGCAAAACCACAGGGAGGGUUUUUGAAGUUUUUUCUUUUUUUCUUUUUGAGUACAAUGACUUGGUUGGCCCCGUUUGAUACUACAUGAGUUCUACAGUUCUAAUUAUGAGGACAAUUUUUUAACCGUUUAUUAUCAAAUCAAAAUUUUUGAAUAAUGUAACAUCAGAUCGACUCCGUUCUAUGUUUCCUCCAUUUCAAAAGAUUCCGAGGUUGAUUUCUUAAAAAUUAAUUUAUUCGAUGUUGGACGCUGCCAGUGUGAUUUAUGCAAAACGAUUUUGAGUGAUACAGCCGAUUCAACAUGAUUUAUGCAAGACGAUUUCGAAAAAUACAAUCGAUUCAACAGUUGGAAUGUAUUUGAACACCGUUCUGAAUAGAUGGACGGUAUUGAACAUCUUUUUAUUAUAUAUAUAUGGAGGGGGUGGUGGUGGGGUUUGUCAAAGAGUUCUACUUGGACUACUGUCGAUAGUAAACGGCUUAACUUACUACCGAUUUUGUUUGCAAUAAUAAAGCUUCCAAAUAAACAACCGGCACUAUUGAACAUAAUUUAGACCAUUUAAACUAUCUAAAAAUUAUAUUUCAUCCUUUUCUAAUUUUGUUCUCUUAUUCAUCAAGUAAACAGAAAAUAAAUGGCUGAAAAUAAAUAUCCUUCAAAAAAUUAUGAUACAAUUUUUGCUUUUAAGAUCUUGAGUCUAAAUCUUGUUUUAAAUAAUUAUAAAAAUUUACAAAUAAAAAUUCAACUGAUUUGAACAUUUUAUGCCGUUAAGCUAGCAAACGCACAACAUUGACCCUUAAAAUUACAAACUUUUUUGACCUUUUGAUUGUUUUGUGAUAUCGAAAAAACAUGAAUUAGAUUGUAAGACUUAAAUAUAGCGAUCUAACAAAUUUAAAUAAAUAAUUAUAACAAAUUAUAAGUAAGGUCACCCAUUCUAUGAUUACUCUAAUUCUAGCACAUUUAACUCUUUUAAUAUUUUGGAUCUAACCAUCGCCCAAAUGUUAUAGUCGGAUUAAAAGAUUUAGCCUUAUUAUAUCUCAUAUAUAUAACUAUUUGUCUAUUUCUAACCCAGAAUAUCACAUUUCUUCGGCCCCUAAGCCCUGCCCUCGUAAGGCUCAAGCAUACUCACAAAUACCAGUCAAUAUGAGACUCGCCUCGCUAGUUUUAGCCGAUCCUAUGGUAGCCGCACUCCACCUACAACGGGUCAUCAUUAGGGGAGCUACGCUCUAUCCACUGUAUAAUUCUGGCUCAGUCGAGACUUAUCUCAUAUUUUCAGUUGGUGCUUAGAUUUGAAACCAAUUGGAAUACCCUACUUUCCAGAGAGUCAUCCAUCGUAGGACUACUUUAAUCCUAACAUGCUUAACUCUUUUAAUGUCUUGAACUUAACCACCAAACAAAGUACCAUAAUUAGAUUAAGAGAUUUAACUCUAUUGUAUAUCAUUUAUAGAAUUAUUUCAAAUUCCGAAGAAUUGUCACAUAAAAUUUGAAGAUAAUAUUAUCACUCGCCUCAUGGUCAUAUUCUAGUGAUCGCAGUUGCCCUCUUUAAUAUUGCCAAAAUAAGUUAUAUCUCUCUUUCCGUACCAUAACAUUGAAAAUAUACACGGAGAAUGAAAUUGAUUUGCACUAUUUUCAAAGAUCACUAAUCAUACUUUUCCUUUUAUUAGGGUUUUGCUUGAUUGUGUCAUUGCUGUUGUGUGCUCAUUUGUUCGUUAAUUAUCUCACAAAUUUUAAACGAGAAUCUACACUUUGUGUGCAUGGUGGUUUCUUAGUUUUUUUUUUUUUAAAAGUCAUUACUUGAAAUAAGAGUGAAAUUCAAGGUGCAGUUAAAUCAUCUGCCCUUUUGAAAGUAAAAAAAAAAAUUAAAAAAAAAAACAUUUGAACAUGAGGGGUGAUUUUUAUUAGAAGUUAUUGAACUCUUUUUUGCACUUACAGUUCAAAUAUAAGCUGUUAUUAGAUUUGCUCUGUCUCUCGUAUUAGAUGCUCAUUAUUUUUACUUUUGUUAGAUGAGAAGGAAGGAAAUAAAAAUAAAAAUAUUGUCCCAUUCUUGUUUCCAGAACUGAACAAAUAUUAAACAUGAGGAAAUUAAGAUGGGAUAUGAUCAAGCCGAGUUUUUUAUUAGGUUUAAUUUGUUAACCUCAGAUCUAGAGUCAAGUUUUCUUUUUUUUUCAAAAAAAACUCCAAUUACAAACUAGAACUAAUAUAGUAAACGAUAUUAGGAUUUUUUUUUUUUUCACUACCAAAUCAAUGACAAUUAAUUCAUAACCUGCUAAUUGAAAUAUUUUUUUGCCACGUGUGAAAUGACUAGGAUCUUAUUGGGGUGUCUGAUGUGCAAUAAGAAGGGAACACUAUGCCACACUUCAGUUUACACUCUCUGGGAGAUGAGUCGACUUACAGGAGACACAAUACGUGCGAAGGAACUAAAGACAAUUGCCUGCAUCUGGUAGGUAAUUUAGCUCAAACGGAACAGACGUAUCUUUCAAAAGAAAAAACAUUCGCUAAAGCAGAUGUUAAUAGACGUCCGUAUGGUGCGGGAUCAGUCAAGUAGAUUUGGUAUAACGUAAAUAUUCCUCUUGACGGCCUCCAGUAGCGCGGUUUCUCUUCAGGUGGCAAGGCUUUUCUUCGUCCUUCUUUCCACUUGUACUAUGGGAGGGAUCCUUCUUCUCCUCCUUCUGUUUUUCCUUCCAUGUGUUUUCUUUUUCUCCUUUUCCCCUUCAAAUUUACUAGAGACCUGGCAGUCUCUCUCGGUAGUCAAAUUCAUUAUCUAAAUGAAUGAAGUGAUAGCAUACUACCAUUCUCUCAAAAAAAAAAAAAAAAAAACUAAAUUACACCUGUGCACUUUUAGAUACUUAUUGUUUUUAGCAUUGUUAAAUGAGUAAGAAGAAAAAUAGUCUCAUUCUUGUUUUCAGUGAUGAACGGACUGAAAAUUAGACAUGAGAAGAUUAAGAUGGGAUAGAAUCGAGCCGCGUCUCCUUGCACUACCAAAUCAAUAACAAUUAAUUCAUAACCUGCUAAUUAAAAUAUAAUUUUUUUUUAGAGUGAAAGGUUGCAUGAUAUUUAUUUUGUUUAUUUUUUUAUAAAUAAAUUUAAUUAAAAAUAUAAAAUAAUUAGACUUUGAACUUGGCAUAUAGAAUACCAACUAUCAAUCUUCUACCCGCUGUUAACUCAACUGUAGUUGGCAUCUUUCCCACAUUUUAAUAUUUUUCUUUUGAAAUGCAUUGGGGUCUAUACACCGUAAGAAAUUACAAAGCAAUGCACAAAGGGUAAACUUCAAAUAGCUUCUUCGUGGUUUCGCACUUUUUCACUUUAGUACCAUAUGGUUUAAAGUGUAACAAUUUAGUACCCUGUGGUUUUAUUUUUCUUUUUUUGUCAGUUCCUCCAUUAAUAUUUUAUUAAAUUGUAUACAAAAAAUUUUAGAUACUACAUCUAGGUUUAUCGAAUAUUUAUUUUAAUAUCUUUUAGUUUUAACUUUAUCAUGAUUUAGCGAAAAAAAUUAGUGAAAGGAGAUAAUAAAAAGAGAAAAAUGAAACCAUAAUGUACUAAAUUGAUACACUUUAAAUUACAGGAUACUAAAAUAAAAAAGUAUAAAACUACAAAAGUGAUAUUUAAAGUUUUUCCGUACACAAAUGCAUACUACACGUUACUACAGACACCACUUGGUUUACUUUUUACUACUGUGCAGCUGAUCAUCAAGCUCUCAUUUAUUCAUUUUCUAAACACUUUCAUUUUAUUUGCGACAAAUUUCUAGGCAACAAUAUUUGGUACUAAAUCAAUUGAUCGAGGUAUUAGCAUUCCAGAUGGCCUGGAGCUCCUUCAAAAACUCUACCAGCUUGUCGACUUCUGGGAUCAGUUCCUUCACGAUCGCGACAGAGCAGAACCGCUCCGCCCAUUCAGCUAAGAGAGG
rnacentral:lncRNA from 1 species